AAUACGUUCCCGGACCUUGUACACACCGCCCGUCAAGCCAUGGAAGCUGGGUGUACCUAAAGUCGAUAACCGCAAGGAGUCGCCUAGGGUAAAACUAGUAACUGGGCU
rnacentral:rRNA from 1 species